rnacentral:rRNA from 1 species
GACGAACGCUGGCGGCGUGGAUUAGGCAUGCAAGUCGGACGGUAGGGCUUUAUCGUAAGAUAGAGUUUGAGAGUGGCGAACGGGUGAGUAACACGUAGGAAUCUACCCUUAAGACGGGGACAACCCAGGGAAACUUGGGCUAAUACCGGAUGAGAGUGCGAGAGAUUGCAUUUAAAAGGAUGGCGAAAGUUGUCGCUUAGGGAUGAGCCUGCGGUCUAUUAGUUAGUUGGUGAGGUAAGAGCUCACCAAGGCGAUGAUAGAUAGGCGGCCUUAACGGGUGGUCGCCCACACUGGGAUUGAGAUACGGCCCAGACUCCUACGGGAGGCAGCAGUCGAGAAUAGUCUACAAUGGCCGGAAGGCUGAUAGUGCGACGCCGCGUGAACGAUGAAUCCCUUCGGGUGUAAAGUUCUUUUAUAAGGAAUAAAGUGAGGGACGUGUCCCUUUUGUAUGUACCUUAUGAAUAAGGAUCGGCUAACUCCGUGCCAGCAGCCGCGGUAAAUCACGUGUA